AGGCAAAGGUCUGCAACACCUCUAUCCCCGGUUCAAAUCCGGGUGGCACCU
rfam:Ruminococcus sp. CAG:17 genomic scaffold, scf145